CUUGGCGACUAUAGCGUUUUGGACCCACCUGAACCCAUUCCGAACUCAGAAGUGAAACGAAAUAGCGUCGAUGGUAGUGUGGGGUUUCCCCAUGUGAGAGUAGAACAUCGCCAGGC
rnacentral:rRNA from 1 species